AUGGGACGGUCCUCCUCGUGGGUGUCAAGAGCUGUGUGGAGCACUUCUGCUUUCUUUGGGGUGCUUCUUGCAUCCCAAAGGACUACGUGCCUUGCGACUUACACUGCCAUUGCUGGCUGUUGGCAGAGAUGGGAAGAGCCAACCUGUGCCUUGAUGCCCAGGAGCGGGACCAGGCGCAGUGGAAACCAGAAGAGGGACUUCUGUUCAGAUUGGAUGGGAAAUCGCUCUCGUGGAUGGAUUCCCUCAGAACCGAUGUGGUGAUUGUGCUCUGAUGGCUAGAAGAUGACAUUGACUGAUGGAGAAGGACAACCCCACGAUCAUUUGAGCCGAAGGUGAGCUGCUGGCACACAGACCACUUGGGUUGGGGUGUGAAAGCUAGCACACCAAGCUCCCCUUGGUGCUAUGGGGGCUGCAUUGACUACAAGAUGGCAUGAACGGCAACGCAAGCAUGUUCAUAAGCCCUUGGGUUGACAGGAAAAUUUGCACAGGCUCCAGAAACAUUUUUGCAAACAAAAACUUUCUUGGAAAACCAUGUGUAUCGCUCCAGUGAAAGUACACCUAGCCCACAAAGCGAACCAAGAAAGGCUGCGAGACAACCCAGGUCCCCUCUGUGCACCAUCUCUGCAGCAGCAGAGAGGUGAGCUUGCUAUCACGCAAUGGCAACAGCUGUCCUGUG
rnacentral:lncRNA from 1 species